rnacentral:rRNA from 1 species
CCUACGGGAGGCAGCAGUGGGGAAUAUUGCACAAUGGGGGAAACCCUGAUGCAGCGACGCCGCGUGAGUGAAGAAGUAAUUCGUUAUGUAAAGCUCUAUCAGCAGGGAAGAAAAUGACGGUACCUGAGUAAGAAGCCCCGGCUAACUACGUGCCAGCAGCCGCGGUAAUACGUAGGGGGCAAGCGUUAUCCGGAUUUACUGGGUGUAAAGGGAGCGUAGACGGCAGUGCAAGUCUGGAGUGAAAGGCGGGGGCUCAACCCCCGGACUGCUAUGGAAACUGUACGGCUGGAGUGAAGGAGAGGCAGGCGGAAUUCCUAGUGUAGCGGUGAAAUGCGUAGAUAUUAGGAGGAACACCAGUGGCGAAGGCGGCCUGCUGGGCUUUAACUGACGCUGAGGCUCGAAAGCGUGGGGAGCAAACAGGAUUAGAUACCCUAGUAGUC